AUUGAACGCUGGCGGCAUGCCUUACACAUGCAAGUCGAACGGCAGCGCGGGAGCAAUCCUGGCGGCGAGUGGCGAACGGGUGAGUAAUAUAUCGGAACGUGCCCAGUAGUGGGGGAUAGCCCGGCGAAAGCCGGAUUAAUACCGCAUGAGACCUGAGGGUGAAAGCGGGGGAUCGCAAGACCUCGCGCUAUUGGAGCGGCCGAUAUCAGAUUAGCUAGUUGGUGGGGUAAAGGCCUACCAAGGCAACGAUCUGUAGUUGGUCUGAGAGGACGACCAGCCACACUGGGACUGAGACACGGCCCAGACUCCUACGGGAGGCAGCAGUAAGGAAUAUUGGACAAUGGCCGCAAGGCUGAUCCAGCAAUGCCGCGUGCAGGAAGAAGG
rnacentral:rRNA from 1 species